CGGUGCUGAAGAGCCUCAUUGCAAGGCAUGGAGUCCAUGGGAGCCUACCUGGUGCUGGAGAGCUUCCUUGCAAGAUAGGAAAAAUCAAGGCAUCAAGAGCUGAAUGCACCAGUAUGUGCUGAGCUCUGUGGAAAAGUAGAUGCCACUUGGACAAGAUCAGCCACUUGGGAACUG